AGACCGAUAGCAAACAAGUACGGUGACGGAAGAUUGAAAAGAACUUUGAAGAGAGAGUUCAAUAGUACGUGAAACUGUGUGGUGGUAAACGGAGGGGUUCUCGAAGUUUCUGUAGGGUACUCAGCCUUGGAGUUGGGCUGUCUGGUGGUAUCGGAUCAGCAAUGACCGUGCCGCUAGUCAGGCUUGGCUCACGGGUGCAUUUCCCCUGCAGUUUACGGCAGGAACUGUUUAGCGCAGACCUAAGGCUCUGGGUGAAGUUGGAGGCCUAGCUUUCAGCCCUGGAUGUUCUGGCUUUGCACUAGACAGGUACUUGAGGAGACUCGUAUAGCGAGCAAUGCUCUGUUGCGGUUUCCAUCUCUCUGCCGAGUAGGUCGGUGGCCCCUCCGACCCGUCUUGAAACACGGAC
rnacentral:rRNA from 1 species